rnacentral:rRNA from 1 species
GACGAACGCUGGCGGCGUGCUUAACACAUGCAAGUCGAACGGAGUGGCGAACGGGUGCGUAACACGGGGGUGAUCUGCCUUGCACUACGGGAUAAGCUGGGGAAACUGGGGCUAAUACCGGAUAGUGCAAGAUGAGUUGGGGGCCUAUCUGCUUGUUGGUGGGGUAAUGGCCUACCAAGGCGUCGACGGGUCGCCGGCCUGGGAGGGUGUACGGCCACAUUGGGACUGAGGUAGGGCCCAGACUCCUACGGGAGGCAGCAGUGGGGAGUCUUGCACAAUGGGCGGAAGCCUGAUGCAGCGGCGCUGGGUGGGGGAUGAAGGGCUUCGGGUUGUAAACUACUUUCGACAGGGACGCGGUACCUAUAUAGGAAGCACCGGCUAACUACGUGCCAGCCGCCGCGGUAAUUC